rnacentral:miRNA from 1 species
CGCGUCCCGGCGCGAGCGGGAGCGGGAGCGGGAGCGGGAGCGCGCCUCGUCC